AGGGAAUCUUCCGCAAUGGACGAAAGUCUGACGGAGCAACGCCGCGUGAGCGAUGAAGGUCUUCGGAUCGUAAAGCUCUGUUGUUAGGGAAGAACAAGUACCGGAGUAACUGCCGGUACCUUGACGGUACCUAACCAGAAAGCCACGGCUAACUACGUGCCAGCAGCCGCGGUAAUACGUAGGUGGCAAGCGUUGUCCGGAUUUAUUGGGCGUAAAGCGCGCGCAGGCGGUCCUUUAAGUCUGAUGUGAAAUCUUGCGGCUUAACCGCAAGCGGUCAUUGGAAACUGGGGGACUUGAGUGCAGAAGAGGAAAGCGGAAUUCCACGUGUAGCGGUGAAAUGCGUAGAGAUGUGGAGGAACACCAGUGGCGAAGGCGGCUUUCUGGUCUGUAACUGACGCUGAGGCGCGAAAGCGUGGGGAGCAAAC
rnacentral:rRNA from 1 species